AACUCGAUAAACGAACUAAAAGAGAGAGAGAGAGACAGAGGGAAAAGAGACAGUUAAACCGAAUAGCUUAGACCCUGAAAACUGGAUCUCUCUCUUUUUUCUUUCUUUCAUUUCGUUGAAUCACUUGAUUUCUUAGAUUCGGGCUGCUGGCGUCCUAUCCGGCUCGAUCCCGCCCAAAUGAUGGCAUCUACGGCGGGCCGCUCGUUGUGCCCCUCUUAUCUGUGAAAGUAGAUCUUGUGUUUGUCCGCUGUGCCUGUGUGUGUGUGCCGAAUCUCCUAUACGUGUGUGAAUACAUUAACUUUUAUGGGGGCCCCACAACUCUACCCACAGGCUCAGAGGUCUCUUUGAAGCCGUGUGACCCUGCGUACACCCCGUUUUUGGGAAACCUGCGGAGAGAAAGAUAUAUAUAUACAGGCACAGUCUUGUUUUUUUCAUUCUACCCGCUACACAACACGCGCGCUCGCCUCUUUUCCACCGUUUUUUUGGUUUUGUUUUUCUUCUUGUUGUAAUGAGAUUGUAAUGAACGAUACGCCUGAAAGCAACAACAAAAAAGAUGAGGGGAAGAAAACAAAAAAAGGGGGCCAAACUCACGGAGAUUACACGUCCGUUCUCGCUAAUGAAGUAGAUCCAUUUUUCAUGUAAAAUUCUCCUCUCCUCUUGUCAGAUUGUUGUCGAUUAACGCAUUCCGAGAUUCACGCAGAUGUGCCUAGAUGGUCGGCUGCCGAAAAUGCGCAGAUGACACAUUUGAUAAGCAGAUACAGCAGAUCGUAUGUAAAUGUUUCACGCCGACGGGAGGAAACCUCGGCCGUCUGGAUAGCGGAUGAAAGGGUUAAAUGCCGCAGUCGGUUUUCCUCGAUACGUUAUUACAAAGUUGAAUUAGAAGCCAAA